CAGGCUUAACACAUGCAAGUCGAGGGGCAGCAUUUUAUUUUGCUUGCAAACUGAAGAUGGCGACCGGCGCACGGGUGAGUAACACGUAUCCAACCUGCCGAUAACUCCGGGAUAGCCUUUCGAAAGAAAGAUUAAUACCGGAUAGUAUACGAAUAUCGCAUGAUAUUUUUAUUAAAGAAUUUCGGUUAUCGAUGGGGAUGCGUUCCAUUAGUUUGUUGGCGGGGUAACGGCCCACCAAGACUACGAUGGAUAGGGGUUCUGAGAGGAAGGUCCCCCACAUUGGAACUGAGACACGGUCCAAACUCCUACGGGAGGCAGCAGUGAGGAAUAUUGGUCAAUGGGCGCGAGCCUGAACCAGCCAAGUAGCGUGAAGGAUGAAGGCUCUAUGGGUCGUAAACUUCUUUUAUAUGGGAAUAAAGUUUUCCACGUGUGGAAUUUUGUAUGUACCAUAUGAAUAAGGAUCGGCUAACUCCGUGCCAGCAGCCGCGGUAAUACGGAGGAUCCGAGCGUUAUCCGGAUUUAUUGGGUUUAAAGGGAGCGUAGGUGGAUUGUUAAGUCAGUUGUGAAAGUUUGCGGCUCAACCGUAAAAUUGCAGUUGAAACUGGCAGUCUUGAGUACAGUAGAGGUGGGCGGAAUUCGUGGUGUAGCGGUGAAAUGCUUAGAUAUCACGAAGAACUCCGAUUGCGAAGGCAGCUCACUAGACUGUCACUGACACUGAUGCUCGAAAGUGUGGGUAUCAAACAGGAUUAGAUACCCUGGUAGUCCACACAGUAAACGAUGAAUACUCGCUGUUUGCGAUAUACAGUAAGCGGCCAAGCGAAAGCAUUAAGUAUUCCACCUGGGGAGUACGCCGGCAACGGUGAAACUCAAAGGAAUUGACGGGGGCCCGCACAAGCGGAGGAACAUGUGGUUUAAUUCGAUGGUACGCGAGGAACCUUACCCGGGCUUAAAUUGCAACAGAAUAUAUUGGAAACAGUAUAGCCGUAAGGCUGUUGUGAAGGUGCUGCAUGGUUGUCGUCAGCUCGUGCCGUGAGGUGUCGGCUUAAGUGCCAUAACGAGCGCAACCCUUAUCUUUAGUUACUAACAGGUUAUGCUGAGGACUCUAGAGAGACUGCCGUCGUAAGAUGUGAGGAAGGUGGGGAUGACGUCAAAUCAGCACGGCCCUUACGUCCGGGGCUACACACGUGUUACAAUGGGGGGUACAGAAGGCGGCUACCUGGUGACAGGAUGCUAAUCCCAAAAACCUCUCUCAGUUCGGAUCGAAGUCUGCAACCCGACUUCGUGAAGCUGGAUUCGCUAGUAAUCGCGCAUCAGCCAUGGCGCGGUGAAUACGUUCCCGGGCCUUGUACACACCGCCCGUCAAGCCAUGAAAGCCGGGGGUACCUGAAGUACGUAACCGCAAGGAGCGUCCUAGGGUAAAACUGGUAAUUGG
rnacentral:rRNA from 1 species